UGGUGGAGUGAUUUGUCUGGUUAAUUCCGAUAACGAACGAGACCUUAACCUGCUAAAUAGUCACACUUAUCUUUGAUAGGUGUCUGACUUCUUAGAGGGACUAUAGAUGUUUAAUCUAUGGAAGUUUGAGGCAAUAACA
rnacentral:rRNA from 1 species